rnacentral:rRNA from 1 species
UACAGAGGUCUCAAGCGUUGUUCGGAUUCAUUGGGCGUAAAGGGUGUGUAGGUGGCGCCGUAAGUCGGGUGUGAAAUUUCGGAGCUUAACUCCGAAACUGCAUUCGAUACUGCGGUGCUUGAGGACUGGAGAGGAGACUGGAAUUCACGGUGUAGCAGUGAAAUGCGUAGAUAUCGUGAGGAAGACCAGUGGCGAAGGCGGGUCUCUGGACAGUUCCUGACACUGAGGCACGAAGGCCAGGGGAGCAAACGGG